GUCGAGGGGUAUCGGUAGCAAUACUGAGAGACCGGCGCACGGGUGAGUAACGCGUAUGCAACCUGCCCUUUACAGGAGGAUAGCCCGUCGAAAGGCGGAUUAAUACUCCAUAAGAUGGUACUACCGCAUGGUAGAGCCAUAAAAGCUUCGGCGGUAAAGGAUGGGCAUGCGUGACAUUAGCUAGUUGGCGGGGUAACGGCCCACCAAGGCUACGAUGUCUAGGGGUUCUGAGAGGAAGGUCCCCCACACUGGUACUGAGACACGGACCAGACUCCUACGGGAGGCAGCAGUGAGGAAUAUUGGUCAAUGGGCGCGAGCCUGAACCAGCCAUCCCGCGUGCAGGAAGACGGCCCUAUGGGUUGUAAACUGCUUUUGUGCAGGAAGAACGCUCAAUACGUGUAUUGAAGUGACGGUACUGCAUGAAUAAGCACCGGCUAAC
rnacentral:rRNA from 1 species